rnacentral:lncRNA from 1 species
UUUCUGGAGUCUGAAAUGUUAAGUAUGGAGGCAAAAGCUGAAGCUGGAGCAACAGUCUCAGAAUAUGACAACAACCAUGAGAAUGGAGGCCAUUCAUAGCAGAACUACGAGACAAGAGGAGCCUAGGUCCCUGAGCUGCAGAACUGCAUACUAACCUGGUGAGAAGACUAAUGCUCAGUGAGGUGAACUCCUUCAGGGCCACAGGCUGUAAAGAUCUAAACACCAUCUGAUCCAGUUUCAAUAUGACUGCCUGGAUGAAGAAGGAUUUGAGACUAAGUUUAUUCCUCCAAAGCAAACCAACUGAGAAUGCAGGGACAGGGUCUUGCUAUGUUGCCCAGGCCAGUCUCAAACUCCUGGGUUCAAGCAAUCCACUCGCCUUGGCCUCUUAAAGCACUGGGAUUACAAGCGUGAACCACCAUGCCUGGCUGAAGAUUCAAGUUUUUAAAACAUCUGAUUUCCACUUGAAACCUUGAAUUGUAUCAUUGGCAACAAAUAAUGUCAGUUAUUUUCCUUGAGAUGACAACUUCACUUAGUUAUUUUCAAGAAAACUGCUGCCAUGUAGCCAACUGUGAAUGACCACAGUUUGCCUGUCAGUCAUUCUGUCAAGUAAAAUGGUGCUCCUCAAACAAAGCAGCACGUUUAGCUCACAACUCAACAACCACACAGCAGUCUUCCUCCCACCCACCAUGGCACUUAUAUUAAUAUAAGCAGCAGAGGUGCUUUAUGUAUGAGUAUUGUGUGAAAAUACUCAAAAGACCUGUAACCAAGGGUCAAGAUUACUACAAUUAAUUUCUACUGCUUCUGAGGACCUUGGCUCAUUUCAAAAUCUGGAAAUAUAUUUGAACACCUCUCCCAGAAGUGGGUAAGAAGUUAGAAUAAUGGAAAGGCUUGGCUCCAAGUUCAGUUGAAUGUCAAAAAGCCCAAGUUUGGCUGAAUGGACUUUGUGUCGUGAAAUCUCAGCUCCCUCUCUCUUCUUCCAGGCCAAAUACCUACUGGAUGAAACUGAUAAAAUUAAACAAAGAGAGAGUUUCAAUGCAACCCAUCAUCAAAGGGAAGGAGUUGAUGAAAAGAAAUGAAAUUGAAACGUGCACCUGGGGAGAAGUGAUUGAAGGUUCUUCAUUUAAGGGAUUGGCUCCUUUUCUCUUAUUAUACUGUGAAAUCUGAAAACAUCUCUUGAAAUUCUGGUCACUGUCUUCUGGACAUCCCAAGGCGCACCAUCUCCACAGUUCCUCCCUCCUAGAUUAUCCCAUCCAGUGUGGCAUCCAGUGUGGCAAAUGGAAAGACUCUUCCAGUGGGCAACUGAAAAGGACACCAAAGAAAGCAGAUACAGCCCAUGAUCAAAGAAGCACAUAACUUCAGUUUGGAACAUGA